rnacentral:lncRNA from 1 species
GGAAAAUUUCAGAUACCUCCCUCAAUGUUUCUGACAAUGGCACUUAAACAUCAUCUGAAAUUAAAAAUUACACUUACCUCCCCUCUGUGACGGAUAUGCAGCACCAAAAGCCUCCUGACGACCAACUUGCUCUCAAAAUGUUGUGGCUAAUGUUAUUGCAAAAAUGCGAGGAAAAAAUUGCCUGCAUCAAUAAUAUUUUUUUUAUUUGCUUCUUGGUGCGAGCAUAUGCAAAAGUAAAAUUGAUUUUGUCAUUCCAAGAAGCAAAAUUGAUUUUAUUAUUCCUCAACUACCAUAGAGAGGAAGAAUGCCAAGAGUUGAAAAUAGUAUGCAUUUUUUUUACACUUUAACUAACUUAUAUGCUGCCAAGAUAAAGCCAUUGCAACCUAUCCAACUCUUCUUACUUCUGACUAUCAAAAGCGCAGAAUUGCAGAUGUACACUUUGUUGUAUUGAGAGGAUCCCUACUACUUUCAUAUCUUUUUUCUCUUUUUUAAUUAAUUUUUAUAAACAAAGUGGCAAAUGUUUCGUUCGAAACAUAAAGAGGAUAAAGUUGACAAAAUUUUGUGUGUUAGUACCUUUUCCCACCCUUUUAACUUUCUUUUAAUGACAAGGGCUACAAUAUUUAUCAAAUGUGUCCAUCAAAGGGAAGUGAGUGUAAUUUUUAAUUUUAGAGGGUAUUUAAAUGCAAUUAUCAGAAACAUCAAGGGAAGUAUCUGAAAUUAUCCCUUUUUAAUAGGCUUGCAACAUGAUUGAUGUCUGAAAGUCUCACUUUAAUUGCUUUAGAUACUAUUGUAGAAGACACUUAUGCGUGAAUCUGAUCAGAGAUUUUUGGCUUGUGUGGCUUGCCAAAUUCAGAUGCUGGAGAGGUUUGCAUCGCUCGAGACAACGUCCUAAACUCUUUUCCAUGGGCGAGACAUCUUUUAGGACGGCUGAAAGUGAAAGGUUGGUUUUGUAGUUCAUUUUGCUUGGCUUUCUGCAACUGUCACUUGAGUUGAUUUCAGGGACGGAGUCAGAAAAAAAUUUUAAUGAAGGCAAAAAUAACACUAAAAUUUUUUAUCUGCUCUUUUUCUAAUUUUUUUUAAGCAAAAAAAAAAAAGUCUCAUGCAUAAAAUCACCAUUUCAAAAGUUAAAAUAUAUAUCAAAUAACCCAUUUAUUAGUUAUUACAUUGACUAAUCAAUUUUCAAAUUUCUUUAAAACAGUAAUAGUUUCAUGCUCUAGAAAUACAUUUGCAAACAAAUUUAAAAUAAUAAUAAUAAGAAGUAAUUGUUUAGAACCUGAUUUUGAUGGUCUCCUAAAGUUGGUGAAAAGAGCUGCAAAAUGUGGCGGACUCAGGUCCUAGAAAAUCAAUUGAUUCUGGUACAAUCUCUAAAUCGAAUGAAGUGAUCAACAGAAAGAGUAACAAGCUUUGGUUGUGGAAGAAAAAGUAACCCUCGUAUGUAUGUUGGG